UACAGAGGGGCAAGCGUUGUUCGGAAUUACUGGGCGUAAAGGGCGCGUAGGCGGCCUUCUAAGUCGGACGUGAAAUCCCUCGGCUCAACCGAGGAACUGCGUCUGAUACUGGAAGGCUUGAAUCCGGGAGAGGGAUGGUGGAAUUCCUGGGUGUAGCGGUGGAAUGCGCAGAUAUCAGGAGGAACACCCAUAGCGAAGGCAGCUUGCUGGGACGUUACUGACGCUAAGGCGCGAAAGCGUGGGGAGCGAACGAGG
rnacentral:rRNA from 1 species